rnacentral:rRNA from 1 species
AGUGAACGCUGGCGGUAGGCCCAACACAUGCAAGUCGAACGGCAGCACAGUAAGAGCUUGCUCUUACGGGUGGCGAGUGGCGGACGGGUGAGGAAUACAUCGGAAUCUACUUUUUCGUGGGGGAUAACGUAGGGAAACUUACGCUAAUACCGCAUACGACCUACGGGUGAAAGCAGGGGAUCUUCGGACCUUGCGCGAUUGAAUGAGCCGAUGUCGGAUUAGCUAGUUGGCGGGGUAAAGGCCCACCAAGGCGACGAUCCGUAGCUGGUCUGAGAGGAUGAUCAGCCACACUGGAACUGAGACACGGUCCAGACUCCUACGGGAGGCAGCAGUGGGGAAUAUUGGACAAUGGGCGCAAGCCUGAUCCAGCUAUACCGCGUGGGUGAAGAAGGCCUUCGGGUUGUAAAGCCCUUUUGUUGGGAAAGAAAAGCAGCAGGUUAAUACCCCGCUGUUCUGACGGUACCCAAAGAAUAAGCACCGGCUAACUUCGUG